UCCCUCUCACAUCGAGUCAACACAAAUUCCUCUUAGUGGCCAUCGACUAUUUUACAAAAUGGAUCAAGGCUAAGCCUCUUGCUUGCAUCACCGAGAUAAGAAUAAAAGACUUUGUUUGAAAGUCAAUCAUCUGCCACUAUGAUCUUCUCAGAGUACUGAUUACAAAUAAUGGCAGACAGUUCAGUGGUGCUCGACUCUGCAAUUUUUAUAGAGAACAUGGAAUAGAGC
rnacentral:lncRNA from 1 species